AUGCCAACGGACUUGUCCGUUGGUGACUGCCUUCCGAGACCGCGUACGGCUCAUUAAAUCGGUAGUAAACCUUCGCGGUACGUUCCCCAACGGAUCGUCUCGGGCGCCGUCAGGUCGGGGUCAAACUCGGCAUGGCGACGUCCUAUGGGAAGGUUCGUUGGGGCAUACGGAUAUCCAUGGGAAUUCUAAGGCUAAUACGGGAGGGAAAUAUUCCGACCCCAGCGACGGGUCUCCGAUCGAAAGGCAACGGACGGUCGGAGGUUCGUCAUGGGGACGGGAGCGUUCGUCUUAAUUCUAACCUUGGGGCCCAACGAACUAGCUUCGCUAGGGAAACCUCUCGGGGCGAAUCCUGACGAACUCUAUGCUGGUCGCAUAGGUAUACCUCUCGUAGGUAUGGCGACGGAUCGUAAGGGCUUCCGACUCAUCAGCCAUUGUUGGUACCUUAUUGGUUUACCAAGGCCUCGACGGGUGACGGAGGAUUGGGGUUUGAUCCCGGAGAGGGAGCCUGAGAGAUGGCUACCACUUCUAAGGAAGGCAGCAGGCGCGCAAAUUACCCAUUGCCAGUCCGGCGAGGUAGUGACGACUAAUAACGACGUGGACUCUCGUUGAGGGUCCACGAUCGGAAUGAGUCCGUCGUAGAUAAUCGAACGAGUAACGAUUGGAGGAAAAGUCUGGUGCCAGCACCCGCGGUAANUCCAGCUCCGAUAGCGUAUACUAAAGUUGCUGCAGUUAAAAAGCUCGUAGUCCGGCACGAAUCUUUCGGUUUAAGGUCUCCCACCGCCCUGAGCGGUGUCGCAGACUACCAAACAUACGAUCGUCGGGGGGGUCCGUUACGGACCGGAGGGGAGGCGUUUCGCACGUCGACCCGACGGACCAUUCCGUAACGGACCGUAAAACCCCCAGCGAUCUGCACCUGGAGCAAAUUAGGGUGUUCAAAGCAGGUCGCUCUUCGGAGCGCCUUGAAUAGGUCAGCGUGGGACGCAAUCCGGCACCCAUAGUGCCUCUCUCCUCAGGUACGGACGGUUAACCCCGUUCGUGCCCUAGCGUAGCUUGACCCCACGGACGGAUCGGCAACGGUUCGUCCGGAAGGGUGGUCCCAAGGUGGGUAUUCUAUAGGGAACAAUCGAUAGGGGCGGUCGGUGGCAUCGGUAUUCAGCCGUCAGAGGUGAAAUUCUUGGACCGGCCGAAGACCACCGAGAGCGAAAGCACUUGCCAAGGACGCCUCUCUUGAUCAAGAACGAAAGUCGGGGGAUCGAAGAUGAUCAGAUACCGUCGUAGUCCCGACCACAAACGAUGCCAANCAGGGAUCGGAAGGCGUCGCACCGACGGCCCUUCCGGCACCCCCAGGGAAACCUCGAGUUUUUGGGUUCCGGGGGGAGUAUGGUCGCAAGGCUGAAACUUAAAGGAAUUGACGGAAGGGCACCACCAGGCGUGGGGUUUGCGGCUUAAUUCGACUCAACACGGGGAACCUUACCAGGUCCGGACUCCGUAAGGAUUGACAGACUGAUGGACCUUUCUUGAUCCUGAGGGUGGUGGUGCAUGGCCGUUCUUGGUUGGUGGAGCGAUCCGUCAGGUCAAUUCCGUUAACGAACGAGACCUCGACCCCCCAAAUAGUGACGCUCGACCUACCAAUACGGGGUUCGUCGGUUCGAGUUUUUUGGGACGGUUCGUUUCGGCGGGCCGUUCCGGAUCCUUGGGCCGGUGUCCUCGGUGGGACGUUCGUUUUACUUCUUAGAGGGACGGCUCGCGCUCAGCGAGAGGAAGCUUGAGGCAAUAACAGGUCUGUGAUGCCCUUUAGAUGUUCUGGACCGCACGCGCACCACACUGGCGGUGAGUCGAACGAGCGAGCUAAUUUCUAUUACAGGAACGAACCGUCAACGGACCGUUUACGGACCGUUAACGGAUCGUUGCGCCCCUUGGCCACGAAAGGUUUGGGGAAUCUCGAGUAACCGUCGUGCUCGGGCUAGAGCAUUGCAACUAUUGCUCUUCAACGAGGAAUGCCUAGUAGGCACGGGUCAUCAGCUCGUGCCGAUUACGU
rnacentral:rRNA from 1 species